rnacentral:tRNA from 1 species
CGCGGGGUAGAGCAGUGGAAGCUCGUCGGGCUCAUAACCCGGUGGUCGCUGGUUCGAAUCCAGCCCCCGCUACCA